ACUUAAAACCCUUUUCAAUCUCAAAUUUAAACGCUAUUCUGCAGCAGCAAUAGCUUUAAAAACUAUUUCAUCUUCUUCCCAACUCUUCACGCCAAAAUCCCCCUCCCCUUUUAACUUCGAUUUGGACAAAGCGAAGAAAACUAUGCCGACGGCGCGCCUCUGCUGGUGAAGAACGUGUAUGGUGGGUGUGGGGAAUUGCUGAACGUGGGUGGAAACCGUUGCCAUGUCGUGGGCAGUUGCUGCGGCACCGAUUUGCUUCAAUCUGCUUAGGGUUUCUGCUAUACCCUAUGUUCUUUUGGGCUAACAGGCUAGGGCUAGCAAUUUGGGCCUUUUUAGGCCGAAUUUGGGUUGUAAUAUGGACUCCCACUUAGUUUUAUUUCAAAUUGGGUUUUAAUGGGCCCGGGCAAAAUUGGGUAUUA